UGAGGAAUAUUGGUCAAUGGGGCGAGAGCCUGAACCAGCCAAGUAGCGUGCAGGAUGACGGCCCUAUGGGUUGUAAACUGCUUUUAUAAGGGAAUAAAGUGAGUCUCGUGAGACUUUUUGCAUGUACCUUAUGAAUAAGGACCGGCUAAUUCCGUGCCAGCAGCCGCGGUAAUACGGAAGGUCCGGGCGUUAUCCGGAUUUAUUGGGUUUAAAGGGAGCGUAGGCCGGAGAUUAAGCGUGUUGUGAAAUGUAGAUGCUCAACAUCUGCACUGCAGCGCGAACUGGUUUCCUUGAGUACGCACAAAGUGG
rnacentral:rRNA from 1 species